CUCUUCACAGGUGCUGAGACUAAGAAGAUGAAGGUUCUCAUCAUAUUUAUCUGUCUUAUACAAGAUAGCUUCCUCCUAAAAGCACGGCAGAGGACUAAGGAACCUCAGCACAUUUUACUGAGACUCAUCUAUCCACCAUUUUACAACAGCUACAAUAAGUCAUGUUGUAAACUGUAUGCUGGAAGAUGUUACAAACUGCUGGACAGUGCAGGGUACACCUUUGAUUCCCUGAGAGGAAGAGUUACAACAACAGAGAAAGAUGGCUUGAUUGAGUUUAAUAUAUCCCAUGUACAGCCUGAAGACGCAGGUUUUUACAGAUGUAGUGUUCUGGGUAGCCAGACCCACAUUUAUGCUGACUACUAUGUGAAGAUAUUCGAGGUUUCUGAUUACUACCCGCCAGUCUCAGCCUCCAAUGAAAACCACAACAACAAUCAGUGCCUUAAACAGCUCCACAGCAGGCCUGGAUUCUACUGGACAUGUUCUGGUACAGGACAACAGGGACAGAUCUCCCUGGAAUUUUGGUGUCCCUCUCUUGUUCAUUGUGUCCAUCACAGCCGUGAUUUCUGCUGUUGCUAUGAUUGGUGCCGUCUGCUGCAAAGUCAAAUCGAAACUUAAAAAGUCA